GUGAUAUACCUAAUUUUAUGAUUUGCAAAAAACAAAAAGCAUAUGCAAAUCAACGAUUUCCCUGGUGUUGGCGCAGUAUUCGCGCACCCCAACUUCGGU
rnacentral:sRNA from 1 species